UGGGGAAUAUUGCACAAUGGGCGCAAGCCUGAUGCAGCCAUGCCGCGUGUGUGAAGAAGGCCUUCGGGUUGUAAAGCACUUUCAGCGGGGAGGAAGGCGGUGAGGUUAAUAACCUCACCGAUUGACGUUACCCGCAGAAGAAGCACCGGCUAACUCCGUGCCAGCAGCCGCGGUAAUACGGAGGGUGCAAGCGUUAAUCGGAAUUACUGGGCGUAAAGCGCACGCAGGCGGUCUGUCAAGUCGGAUGUGAAAUCCCCGGGCUCAACCUGGGAACUGCAUUCGAAACUGGCAGGCUAGAGUCUUGUAGAGGGGGGUAGAAUUCCAGGUGUAGCGGUGAAAUGCGUAGAGAUCUGGAGGAAUACCGGUGGCGAAGGCGGCCCCCUGGACGAAGACUGACGCUCAGGUGCGAAAGCGGGGGGAGCAAACAGG
rnacentral:rRNA from 1 species